UGACAGAGUGAGAGAGGGGUGACUAGUGACCGAGUGAGGGAGGGAGUGGGUGACUAGUGACAGAGUGAGGAAGGGGGUGACACAGUGAUAGUCACCCCAUUCCUCCCUCUGUCACUAAUCACCACCUCCCUCACUCUCACUAGUCACCCUUCCCUCCCUCACUCUGUCACUAGUCACACCCUCCCUCUCUCUGUCACUA